GGGCAGUUAGCUCAGUUGGUAGAGCGCCACCCUUACAAGGUGGAUGUCGGGGGUUCGAGCCCCUCACUGCCCACCA
rnacentral:tRNA from 1 species